GGGUCAGUAGGUUGGUCGUGCCACCGGUACGUACUGGUCUCACUGAUUCCUCCUUCCUGAAGAACCGUAAUGCCAUUAAUUUGGUGUUGCGGGGAAACAGGACUGUUACUUUGAAAAAAUUAGAGUGUUUAAAGCAAGCUAACGCUUGAAUACAUUAGCAUGGAAUAAUGAAAUAGGACGAUCGAUCCUAUUUUGUUGGUUUCUGGGAUUGACGUAAUGAUUAAGGGAUAGUUGGG
rnacentral:rRNA from 1 species